rnacentral:rRNA from 1 species
GAAUAUUGGACAAUGGGGGGAACCCUGAUCCAGCCAUGCCGCGUGUGUGAAGAAGGCCUUUUGGUUGUAAAGCACUUUAAGCGAGGAGGAGGCUACUCGAGUUAAUACCGAGAGAUAGUGGACGUUACGCGCAGAAUAAGCACAGGCUAACCCUGUGCCAGCAGCCGCGGUAAUACAGAGGGUGCAAGCGUUAAUCGGAUUUACUGGGCGUAAAGCGCGCGUAUGUGGUCAAUUAAGUCAAAUGUGAAAUCCCCGCGCUUAACUUGGGAUUUGCAUUCGAUACUGGUUGGCUAGAGUAUGGGAGAGGAUGGUAGAAUUCCAGGUGUAGCGGUGAAAUGCGUAGAGAUCUGGAGGAAUACCGAUGGCGAAGGCAGCCAUCUGGCCUAAUACUGACACUGAGGUGCGAAAGCAUGGGGAGCAAACA